AGAGUUUGAUCCUGGCUCAGAGUGAACGCUGGCGGCGUGCCUAAUACAUGCAAGUCGAACGGACAAGUAAGAGCUUGCUCUUAUGAGUUAGUGGCGCACGGGUGAGUAAUGUAUAGUUAAUCUGCCCUACACUGGAGGACAACAGUUAGAAAUGACUGCUAAUACUCCAUACUCCUUCUUAACACAAGUUAAGUCGGGAAAGUUUUUUCGGUGUAGGAUGAGACUAUAUUGUAUCAGCUAGUUGGUGAGGUAAUGGCUCACCAAGGCUAUGACGCAUAACUGGUCUGAGAGGAUGAUCAGUCACACUGGAACUGAGACACGGUCCAGACUCCUACGGGAGGCAGCAGUAGGGAAUAUUGCUCAAUGGGGGAAACCCUGAAGCAGCAACGCCGCGUGGAGGAUGACACUUUUCGGAGCGUAAACUCCUUUUGUUAGGGAAGAACAAUGACGGUACCUAACGAAUAAGCACCGGCUAACUCCGUGCCAGCAGCCGCGGUAAUACGGAGGGUGCAAGCGUUACUCGGAAUCACUGGGCGUAAAGGACGCGUAGGCGGAUUAUCAAGUCUUUUGUGAAAUCUAAUGGCUCAACCAUUAAACUGCUUGAGAAACUGAUAAUCUAGAGUGAGGGAGAGGCAGAUGGAAUUGGUGGUGUAGGGGUAAAAUCCGUAGAGAUCACCAGGAAUACCCAUUGCGAAGGCGAUCUGCUGGAACUUAACUGACGCUAAUGCGUAAAAGCGUGGGGAGCAAACAGGAUUAGAUACCCUGGUAGUCCACGCCCUAAACGAUGUAUACUAGUUGUUGCUGUGCUAGUCAUGGCAGUAAUGCACCUAACGGAUUAAGUAUACCGCCUGGGGAGUACGGUCGCAAGAUUAAAACUCAAAGGAAUAGACGGGGACCCGCACAAGCGGUGGAGCAUGUGGUUUAAUUCGAAGAUACGCGUAGAACCUUACCUGGGCUUGAUAUCCUAAGAACCUUGUAGAGAUACGAGGGUGCUAGCUUGCUAGAACUUAGUGACAGGUGCUGCACGGCUGUCGUCAGCUCGUGUCGUGAGAUGUUCGGUUAAGUCCGGCAACGAGCGCAACCCACGUAUUUAGUUGCUAACAGUUCGGCUGAGCACUCUAAAUAUACUGCCUUCGUAAGGAGGAGGAAGGUGUGGACGACGUCAAGUUAUCAUGGCCCUUAUGCCCAGGGCGACACACGUGCUACAAUGGCAUAUACAAUGAGACGCAAUAUCGCGAGAUGGAGCAAAUCUAUAAAAUAUGUCCCAGUUCGGAUUGUUCUCUGCAACUCGAGAGCAUGAAGCCGGAAUCGCUAGUAAUCGUAGAUCAGCCAUGCUACGGUGAAUACGUUCCCGGGUCUUGCACUCACCGCCCGUCA
rnacentral:rRNA from 1 species